ACACACACACACACACACACACACACACACACACACACACACACACACACACACACACACACACACAUACACACACACACAGACACACGGAUAUACACACAUACACACACACACACACACACAGACGUACGUAUAUACACACACACAGAUGUACGGAUAUACACACACACACACACAGACGUACGGAUAUACACACACACACAGACGUUGGGAUAUACACACACACACAGACGUACGGAUAUACACACACACACACAGAAGUACGGAUAUACACACACACACAGACGUACGGAUAUACACACACACACACAGACGUUGGGAUAUACACACACACACAGACGUACGGAUACACACACACACUCACAGACGUUGGGAUAUGCACACACACACAGACACACACACAGACAGACGGAUAUACACACACACACACACAGAAGUACGGAUAUACACACACACACACAGACGUACGGAUAUACACACACACACACACACACACAGACGUACGGAUAUACACACACACACAGACGACGGAUAUACACACACACACAGACGUACGGAUAUACACACACACACACAGACGUACGGAUAUACACACACACAGAUACGUUGGGAUAUACACACACACACACACAGAAGUACGGAUAUACACACACACACAGACGUACGGAUAUACACACACACACACACAGAAGUACGGAUAUACACACACACACAGACGUACGGAUAUACACACACACACACAGACGUAUGGAUACACACACACACAGACGUUGGGAUAUGCACACACACACACAGACGUAUGGAUACACACACACACAGACGUUGGGAUAUGCACACACACACAGACAUACGGAUAUGCACACACACACAGACAUACGGAUAUACACACACACACAGACGUACGGAUAUACACACACACACACAGAAGUACGGAUAUACACACACACACACAGACGUACGGAUAUACACACACACACACACACAGACGUUGGGAUACACACACACACACAGACGUACGGAUAUACACACACGCACAGACGUACGGAUAUACACACACACACACAGACGUACGGAUAUACACACACACACAGACGUACGGAUAUACACACACACACACACAUAAACAGACACACACACACCUCCGUUUGACCUCCAGUCGACAGGCCAUGUCACAGGCUGUCGUCUUGUCUUCAUCUCUGUUGCUCUCAUCUUCUCCUCUAACGCAUCCUCUUCUCCCAUUAACACAUUCUCCUUCUUCCAUCACUGCUAUAUCUGACUCAAAAACCGUGCGCGUGUGUGUGAUUGAUCAUCUCCAGUCGGGCUGUGAUCAGUAAUCAGAGGCAGAGCAUCUUUCAGAACUUUAGUAGCUGUCAUGGUGUGUUUCAUUGUUUGGUCGUGAGUAGCACCAACAGCUGAAGAGAGGAGACUGUUAAGUCACUCUGUCUGUCUGUCUGUCUGGCUGUCUGUCUGGCUGGCUGUCUCUGUCUGGCUGGCUGUCUGGCUGUCUGUCUGGCUGUCUGUCUGUCUGGCUGGCUGGCUGUCUCUGUCUGGCUGGCUGGCUGUCUCUGUCUGGCUGGCUGGCUGGCUGUCUCUGUCUGGCUGUCUGGCUGGCUGUCUGUCUCUGUCUGUCUGUCUGGCUGGCUGUCUCUGUCUGGCUGGCUGGCUGACUGGCUCUCUCUCUCUCUCUCUCUCUCUCUCUGGAAGUGUGUUGUCACUUUCACAGCUCUGCCAGGGACCAUUACAAUAUGGUGACUAGGAACACCACUAGCAACAACGUCUCUAUAUUCACAACAACACAAUCCCUACAUCUCUUCAGAUUUGAUGCAAUUCUAUUGUGCAAAACGCUCCAUUGAGGACUGAUAGGAGAGGGCAGCGUAUAAAUUAAGGGUCAAUAGCACUUCUGAAUUGAGCCUCUGAUUCAAUCCGGGAUUCAAUCCGAUCGCCUCUUUUAGGCUAUGCACCUUUUUAAAGGCAAUGUUCCCCAUGUUCGCGGUGACCACAUUUAUGUUAAACACUGCAUAUGUCAGCUCAAUCAGAAAUUACCUUUAAAUGUCAAAGCAAACUAAUAAAGCAGAGCUAACCGCUGAUUGGAUAGAAUGCCAGAGGGCUCAAUUUGAAAAACAACGUAUUGUCUGUGCACACAAUCAUAGAAAAGAUGGACGCAAUUUAUUUACCUUUAAAACAUGUUCCCUGUCAUUUUAGUUAUGCAACCUUUAUAUGCAGUAUGGAGCAGCUGAUGAUUUCAGCAGAUCUGUGAUUAAUGCGGCUUUUAAAGGUUCACGUUUUUUAAUGUCACGUGCACAAGUAUAGUGAAAUGCCUUUCUGUGUGUGUGUGUGUGUGUGUGUGUGUGUGUGUGUGUGUGUGUGUGUGUGUGUGUGUGUGUGUGUGUGUGUGUGUGUGUGUGUGUGUGUGUGUGUGUGUGUGUGUGUGUGUGUGUGUGUGUGUGUGUGUGUGUGUGUGUGUGUGAUCUUUAUCACGGAGGACAGCUGUUGAUCUGGCCGGAGAGGACACGUUCAGCACCGCCUGUUAAUGAGUCCUAUUGUGUAAAAAUGAGUCCUAUUGUGUGUGUUGGACUGUCAGUGACUGUGCAGGGCCCUGUCAGUGUGUGUGACUGUGCAGGGCCCUGUCAGUGUGUGUGACUGUGCAGGGCCCUGUCAGUGUGUGUGACUGUGCAGGGCCCUGUCAGUGUGUGUGACUGUGCAGGGCCCUGUCAGUGUGUGUGACUGUGCAGGGCCCUGUCAGUGUGUGUGACUGUGCAGGCCCCUGUCAGUGUGUGUGACUGUGCAGGGCCCUGUCAGUGUGUGUGACUGUGCAGGGCCCUGUCAGUGUGUGUGACUGUGCAGGGCCCUGUCAGUGUGUGUGACUGUGCAGGGCCCUGUCAGUGUGCAUAGAGACAGUGAAAAAAAUAAACCACAAGGGUCAACUCAGAUAGUCUGUGUUGUUCAGCGGUCGUAUGGCUUGGGGAUAGAAACUGUUCAGGGGCCUGUUGGUGUCAGAUUUCAUGCACCGGUACCGUGCGGAAGCAGAGAGAACAGUCUAUGGGUUGGCUGGAGUCGUUGACGCUUUUCCGGGCCUUCCUUUCACACCACCUGAUAUUUUGGUCCUGGAUGGCAGAGAGGUCGGCCCCAGUGAUGUACUGGGCUAGCUGCACCACCCUCUGUAGCGCCAUGCGAUCAGGGGCGGUGCUAUUACUAUACCAGGCGGUGAUGCAGCCAGUCAAGAUGCUCUCGAUGGUGCAGCUGUAUAAAUUAUUGAGGAUUUGAGGGCCCAUGCCAAAUCUUUUCAACCUCCUGAGGGGGAAGAGGCGCUGUUGUUCCUUCUUCAUGACUGUGCGCGUGUGUAGACCAUGUUAAUUCCUUAGUGAUUUGGACAACGAGGACAAUCUCACAUUGGCCUCGGAGAGUGAGAUCACCAAAUCUUCAGGGUCGGUUGGCAAACCUCACACCCGGCACAAAUGUUGUUAUUGUUGAAGCGUUCAUAAAAUGCACUGAGUUGGUCUUGUAGAGAGGCAUCGCUGGGUAGAUCACGGCUGGGUCUUCCUUUGUAAACCGUAAUGGACUGUAGCCCCUGCAACAUACUGCGGGCGUCAGAGCCUGUGAAAUAUGAUUCCACCUAAAUUGUCCUUUUGCUCGUCUGAUGACUGCAGUGGUCAUAGCGGAACUUCUUCUACUUGUUACUGUCGUCAGCCGUAGCUUCAGGGUUGUCUGGGAUAAGUAAUAUUCCUGUCGUCAGCCGUAGCUUCAGGGUUGUCUGGGAUAAGUAAUGUUCCUGUCCUCAGCUGUAGCUACAGGGUUGUCUGGGUGAAGUAAUGUUCCUGUCCUCAGCUGUAGCUACAGGGUUGUCUGGGAUAAGUAAUGUUCCUGUCCUCAGCUGUAGCUACAGGGUUGUCUGGGAUAAGUAAUGUUCCUGUCCUCAGCCGUAGCUACAGGGUUGUCUGGGAUAAGUAAUGUUCCUGUCCUCAGCCGUAGCUCCAGGGUUGUCUGGGAUAAGUAAUGUUCCUGUCCUCAGCCGUAGCUACAGGGUUGUCUGGGAUAAGUAAUGUUCCUGUCCUCAGCCGUAGCCUCCGAGUUGUCUGGGAUAAGUAAUGUUCCUGUCCUCAGCCGUAGCCUCCGGGUUGUCUGGGAUAAGUAAUGUUCCUGUCCUCAGCUGUAGCCUCCAGGGUUGUCUGGGAUAAGUAAUGUUCCUGUCCUCAGCUGUAGCUACAGGGUUGUCUGGGAUAAGUAAUGUUCCUGUCCUCAGCCG
ensembl:lncRNA